rnacentral:rRNA from 1 species
UACGUAGGGUGCAAGCGUUGUCCGGAAUUAUUGGGCGUAAAGAGCUCGUAGGCGGUUUGUCGCGUCGAAUGUGAAAACCCGGGGCUCAACCCCGGGCCUGCAUUCGAUACGGGCAGACUAGAGUUCGGUAGGGGAGACUGGAAUUCCUGGUGUAGCAGUGAAAUGCGUAGAUAUCAGGAGGAACACCGAUGGCGAAGGCAGGUCUCUGGGCUGACACUGACGCUCAUGCACGAAAGCGUGGGGAGCAAACAGG